rnacentral:lncRNA from 1 species
UGUUUGUGGUAGUGGGUGGUGAGGUGGAAACAUUUUGGGCCAGCUGUCCAUUUAAAACUGAAGUGCAGGAUUCGCAGCCUUCGCUUUGCGAAUAAAACGUUCGCUGAGCGAACCAUACCAGAAAAAAAAAUUUCUGCUGAAUCCUUUGGCACAGCUUACACCAAACAUGUUCCUACCAUCAAAAUUAUAUUAUGCAUGCUAAAACAUUAAAUUACUUACAAAAUUGGGUUGCCUCCCAACAAGCGCUUGUUUAACGUCAUUAGCUUGACGUUCUUUUUGGAGCUUCAAGGAUCGGAAAGUGGGAUUUUGGUAGUGACACGAUCAAAAUCACCACCAAAAUAUAGUUUCAACCUUUGACCAUUAACAGUCCAUGUGGCAUUGGUAGCUGGAUCUUCCAACACAACUGCACCAUAUGGUU